rnacentral:rRNA from 1 species
AGUGAACGCUGGCGGCAUGCCUAACACAUGCAAGUCGAACGGAAGCACGAUAAGAGCUCGCCUUUACCGGUGGCGAGUGGCGGACGGGUGAGGCAUACAUCGGCAUCUACUUUUUCGUGGGGGACUACGUAGGGCAGCUUAUGCUAAUACCGCAUAUGACCUACGGGUGAAAGCAGUAGUUCUUCGCACUUUGCGCGCUUCAUUUAGACGGUGCCGCAUUAGCUAGUUGGCUGGGUAAAGGCCCACCAAGGCAACGAUCCGUAGCUGGUCUGAGAGGAUGAUCGGCCACACUGGAACUGAGACACGGUCCAGACUCCUACGGGAGGCAGCAGUGGGGAAUAUUCGGCAAUGGGCGCAAGCCUGACCCAGCAAUGCCGCGUGAGUGAUGAAGGCCUUCGGAUUGUAAAGCUCUGUUGUUAGGAAAGAAAAACAGCAUGUUAAUACCCGGCUGUCCUGACGGUACCCAAAGAAUAAGCACCGGCUAACUUCGUG